rnacentral:rRNA from 1 species
CGCGGCCUAUCAGCUUGUUGGUGGGGUAACGGCCUACCAAGGCGACGACGGGUAGCUGGCGUGAGAGCGUGACCAGCCACACUGGGACUGAGACACGGCCCAGACUCCUACGGGAGGCAGCAGUGGGGAAUAUUGCGCAAUGGGGGAAACCCUGACGCAGCGACGCCGCGUGCGGGACGAAGGCCUUCGGGUUGUAAACCGCUUUCGGCAGGGACGAAGCGAAAGUGACGGUACCUGCAGAAGAAGCCCCGGCCAACUACGUGCCAGCAGCCGCGGUAAGACGUAGGGGGCGAGCGUUGUCCGGAAUCACUGGGCGUAAAGCGCGCGCAGGCGGCCCGGUAAGUCGGUAGUGAAAACUCGGGGCUCAACCCCGAGCCUGCUAUCGAUACUGCCGGGCUCGAGGUAGGUAGGGGAGAUCGGAAUUCCUGGUGUAGCGGUGAAAUGCGCAGAUAUCAGGAGGAACACCGGUGGCGAAGGCGGAUCUCUGGGCCUUACCUGACGCUCAGGCGCGAAAGCUGGGGGAGCAAACAGGAUUAGAUACCCUGGUAGUCCCAGCCGUAAACGAUGGGUGCUAGGUGUGGGAGGCAUCAACCCCUUCCGUGCCGAAGCUAACGCAUUAAGCACCCCGCCCUUGGGGGGGAAGUUAACCUGG